CCCUUAGAUGUUCUGGGCCGCACGCGCGCUACACUGAUGCAUUCAACAAGCCUAGCCUUGACCGAGAGGUCCGGGUAAUCUUUGAAACCGCAUCGUGAUGGGGCUAGAUUAUUGCAAUUAUUAAUCUUCAACGAGGAAUGCCUAGUAAGCGUGAUUCAUCAAAUCGCGUUGAUUACGUCCCUGCCCUUUGUACACACCGCCCGUCGCUCCUACCGAUUGAAUGUGUUGGUGAGGAGCUCGGAUUGGCAGCAGUUGGUGGUUCGCCACCGGCUAUUGCUGAGAAGUCCUCCAAACCGCCCCAUUUAGAGGAAGGAGAANUCGUAACA
rnacentral:rRNA from 1 species